CAAUUCCGUUAAAUCCUCGUCCUCGUUUUGAUAGUCUCACUCAUGGCCGAUCAGUGUGUUCUUUCUGAUUAGCUCUUAAUUGAGAUCACCUGUCACGCACCCCUUUAUUAAAGGUGAACACAAUUGGUUUGGUUUACUUUUCGCAUCGGCCUGUGUCAAUCGAGGUUGAGUUUAGUGAGGGUUGAAAGUUUUCGAUCUAGAUUGCAGAUCACUAUUGUCACUUUAUACAAACUGAAAGUAUGCGUUAUUGCGUGUUUGUUUUUGUGGGCAUUUGACUGAACAGCCCAGACAAAUAUUGCUACCAACAUGGCACUUCGAAACGGACCACCGCAGUGUUAGAUGACAGACAAGAUCUAUGGGGGGGCCCCCUUUGGGCCCCCCCAUACCAACUUAGUCUUCAAAGGAAUCUAGUGCCAUGGGACUCCAGUGUCUUUAAAACAUCCUCGGAAUACAUGUGUAUGAAUGGUCCACCGAAGGGUUGAUCUGGAAGCCACCACGGUCCACGCAGUAAUCUGCUGCGUGGGCCGUAGUGGCUUCCAUAGCCAUCUUUCGGUCUUGGUCAGGAUUUGUUACAGUUGCCUUUCAAUGUAGCAGGCUACGGGUUUCUGAAGAAGCCUGCUUUACAUAGCAUUGGAGUACAAAUAUUGUGCAAAAUGCUCAUGUAAUUGCACUAGCACUGGUAACCUGUAGAUUAGCUUAGUUUAACGUCAUUCGGUGCUGUCUGUCAAAUGUGUGGCUUACUUUAAGUCCACAAGGCCCUCUGGUAAACCACGUUGGAACACCCCUGGACAAGGUGAUUCGUCACUGGGUGUGUGCUAAAGUUUUGUUCCAUUUUUCACUAGUUGGUUAAGGUUUGGUAGAAUUGUUUGGAUGCUAGCGACGUGAUGGCGUAUGUACAAGAGCCUACCGUGGCCAGGCCACAGUUGCGACGGCCACGGCCAGAUGGCCUAGUGUGAGUGCAACCUUGAUUGCAUUUGUAUACUGUUUACCAUUGGAUGUUUAUGCAAUUUGGCUUAAUUCAUCCGCUGUAAAGCUGCAUUUGACUAUUCCAGGGUCGUUUUGUACAAGCUUUAAAUUGACCAUGUUGACUAGUUUGUGGGAAGUUUUUUUUUUUUUUUUUACCCUUGCUUACAAUCCAACGGUUGCGACCACUUAUGCAACUGGGCUGUGAACCUUGCAAUUCUAGUUGCAUAUUUGUACACGCAAGCUUGUCCAUUUCUAUCGCCAUCACUAACACUAGCUUCAGCAUUUCCUUGUAGGCCAUUAGCUGACUUGUGUAUUGGAGCAAUGAUUUGGGUAUUUUAAGAUGCUUGAAAACCUAAAAUAAAGCAAAAUGCGUGUCUGGUGGUGUGCAAGAGCCAAUUUGUUGGCUUGCAGUAGUCGAGGAGUUGCCGUAGGUCGUAAGCCAUCUGGAGGUUGUGGCAAUGGAGGCUUGUGGUAGAUCUGCCAUCCAAGAAAGGUUAAUUCUUCUGAAGCAUGAUUAAUAGUUUAGUAAAUUAAAUCUAUUCAUAUAGAACUAUAAAAUCCAAGACUGCAGCCAGUAACUUGGAUCGCAAUAUGUGGAAAGUAUUAGUCUUCAUUUGUAACAACAGAAUAAUUAACAUGACUGACUGGGUUUCUUCCAUUUUCUAACUAGGGGGACUUGACUGGUGAGUCUACUGGAUUAAUCAGUAGCGGUUCUUUGCCCAACAGAUUUGAUGGCAUGACUACAGGGUGACAAAGACAAUUAUUCCCUGCCUAUCAAAAGAGACUUCUAAAACAUAUCUGCUAGAACAGUUCCUAUACUUUUUGUAUAAUUUGGUCAUGCUGCAAAUUUACUUUUUGUAGUUGCUCCAUAUUUAGUUCUUUGACAGCCUCACCUGCUAGAAAAGUCUAUUCAAAUCGGCUAAAUAUAAUGAACUAAAUUAAUAGCCAUGAAAUGUUGUCAUUCAUACUAAUGGCAAAUACCCCCUUUCAGUUGGUGGUUCAACACUGAUGUCUCUCUAGGCUUUAGGGAGAGCUCACAUAAAUUACACAAAUGUCCUGGAGUAAUUGGGAAUACACUUUUAUUUAGUCUACCUGACCAGGGACAUCUUUGAACUAUAGGUCACCUAACCCGUACUUUUCACUCUUGUUAGGUUGUCCUUUUCUCUUGUUUUAACCCGAAAGGGCUGAAAAUAUCAACAUUUCAGGUAUUCUGUUUGGAUAAUGUGCAAAACUUGUGGCUUCACUAAUAAAAAAAAAUUAACGAAUGUAUUUUUCUUAAUGUGGUUAAACUAUUUAAAGAUUUGUAUGCAAAAUAUUUCUGCUCAAUUUGUGGUCAAUGAAACCUAAUUUUUUAAUUUGGUAAAACACAACUAUGGGUUAAAGGUAUUUGCUUUGGGCAUCUUUUGAUAUUUUUAGAAUCUAGCUCCAUUGCCGUUAGAAAUGGUGUCUCCCAGUACUGCAAAGUGCUUCCACAAGUUUAAAAAAGAAUGGGCAGAAAAGGAACUGCCAACUAAAUCUAUUUAACAUGGGUAGAAAGUUUCCAUGGAAGCUCUUGGCUGCUGGUUCCCAACACAGCUCCACUGUUAGCCUGUGACCUUGCGUUUAACUUUUUUGGACUUUUGGUGACUUUCACAAAAGAGAAAUGAACUGGUUAAUACAAUAAACAAGACAUUUGAAACUUCAGCUACAUUUUUAUCUAUUUGUACUACCUUUGAUUUCAACCAGUGACAUGCUUGUCAGGUGAUAACUAUGUACCUGUGACUGCAUAUCGUGGUACCAUUUUGAACUGUUUGUGGAUAUUGCAUUAAAUCCAUAUGCUUGAAACUUUUCAAUAAUGCAUAUCAACGAAACAAUGGAAUGAAAUAAAUAGUUCAAGCAAUUUGUGGGACUUGGCUGCUUUUACAUUAUUACUCAUUUUGGGGGUUAUUUCAGUCUCUCCAACCUGCAGGUCGUGCGACGAAUCAUAAUGUG
ensembl:lncRNA